AGCAGCCGCGGUAAUUCCAGCUCCAAUAGCGUAUAUUAAAGUUGUUGCAGUUAAAAAGCUCGUAGUUGAAUUUCGAGAUCAAAUUGUUGGUCGUGCCUUGGUACGCACUGGCAUUAUUGGUUUCUCCCUUCUGACGAACCAUGAUGUCAUUAAUUUGGUGUCUUGGGGAAUCAGGACUGUUACUUUGAAAAAUUAGAGUGUUUAAAGCAGGCUCACGCUUGAAUACAUUAGCAUGGAAUAAUGAAAUAGGACGUUUGAUUCUAUUUUGUUGGUUUCUAGGAUCGACGUAAUGAUUAAUAGGGAUAGUUGGGGGCAUUAGUAUUCAAUUGUCAGAGGUGAAAUUCUUGGAUUUAUUGAAGACUAACUACUGCGAAAGCAUUUGCCAAGGAUGUUUUCAUUAAUCAAGAACGAAAGUUAGGGGAUCGAAGACGAUCAGAUACCGUCGUAGUCUUAACCAUAACUAUGCCGACUAGGGAUCGGAUGAUGUUAAUUUUUAAUGUACUCAUUCGGUACCG
rnacentral:misc_RNA from 1 species